UCUGGAUAAACUUGUAUCCAUCCAAGAGAAUGGGGCAAGUCACUUUACGGAAGUUAAAAUAAGUAGCACAUUUCAGGAUUGACAAAGGCUUACAUAUAAGAGAAAUCUUGGAAUGACUGGAUAACCGUAUGUCCUUUAACAUAUUUUAUGUUAUAAAAAUAAUCUCGAAUAGCUUUAACUAGCUUUUCAAGUUACGAUUUG
rnacentral:ncRNA from 1 species